rnacentral:rRNA from 1 species
GAUGAACGCUAGCGGCAGGCCUAAUACAUGCAAGUCGAACGAGAUUAAGAGGCUUGCUUCUUAUGAAAGUGGCGCACGGGUGCGUAACGCGUAUGCAACCUACCUUAAUCAGGGGGAUAGCCCGAAGAAAUUCGGAUUAAGACCGCAUAAAAACACAGGAUAGCAUUAUCCAAUGUUCAAAUAUUUAUAGGUUUAAGAUGGGCAUGCGUGUCAUUAGCUAGUUGGCGGGGUAACGGCCCACCAAGGCGACGAUGACUAGGGGAUCUGAGAGGAUGACCCACCACACCUGUAACGCGGCACGGACUAGACUCGUACGGGACGGAGCAGUAAGUAACACUGUGCAAGGGAGGGAACUCUGACCCCGCCAUGCCGGGUGCAGGAAGACAGCGCUCGGGGUCGUCAACUGCUUGUAUUCGAGAAUAAACCUUUCUACGUGUAGGAAGCUGAAGGUACCGAAGGAAUAAGGAUCGGCUAACUCCGUG